rnacentral:rRNA from 1 species
GAUUAUGGCUCAGGAUGAACGCUAGCUACAGGCUUAACACAUGCAAGGUCGAGGGGCAGCAUGAUCGAAGCUUGCUUGAUGAUGGCGACCGGCGCACGGGUGAGUAACGCGUAUCCAACCUUCCCUAUAGUAGAGAAUAGCCCGACGAAAGUCGGAUUAAUGCUCUAUGUUGUAUUUAGAGGACAUCUGAAGAAUACCAAAGGUUUACCGCUAUAGGAUGGGGAUGCGUCUGAUUAGGUAGUAGGCGGGGUAACGGCCCACCUAGCCGACGAUCAGUAGGGGUUCUGAGAGGAAGGUCCCCCACAUUGGAACUGAGACACGGUCCAAACUCCUACGGGAGGCAGCAGUGAGGAAUAUUGGUCAAUGGACGGAAGUCUGAACCAGCCAAGUAGCCGUGCAGGAUGACGGCCCUAUGGGUUGUAAACUGCUUUUAUAUAGGGAUAAAGUCGGGGACGUGUCCCCGUUUGUAGGUACUAUAUGAAUAAGGACCGGCUAAUUCCGUGCCAGCCGCAGC